UACGGAGGGUGCAAGCGUUAUCCGGAUUCACUGGGUUUAAAGGGUGCGUAGGUGGAUUGGUAAGUCAGUGGUGAAAUCUCCGGGCUUAACUCGGAAACUGCCAUUGAUACUAUCAGUCUUGAAUACCGUGGAGGCCAGUAGAAUAUGUCAUGUAGCGGUGAAAUGCUUAGAUAUGACAUAGAAUACCAAUUGCGAAGGCAGCUGGCUACGCGAAUAUUGACACUCAGGCACGAAAGCGUGGGGGAUCAAAACAGG
rnacentral:rRNA from 1 species